CCUACGGGGUGCAGCAGUGGGGAAUAUUGCACAAUGGGGGAAACCCUGAUGCAGCCAUGCCGCGUGUGUGAAGAAGGCCUUCGGGUUGUAAAGCACUUUCAGUAGGGAGGAAGGUAGUGUAGUUAACACCUGCAUUAUUUGACGUUACCUACAGAAGAAGCACCGGCUAACUCCGUGCCAGCAGCCGCGGUAAUACGGAGGGUGCGAGCGUUAAUCGGAAUUACUGGGCGUAAAGCGCAUGCAGGCGGCCUGUUAAGUCAGAUGUGAAAGCCCGGGGCUUAACCUCGGAAUUGCAUUUGAAACUGGCAGGCUAGAGUCUUGUAGAGGGGGGUAGAAUUUCAGGUGUAGCGGUGAAAUGCGUAGAGAUCUGAAGGAAUACCAGUGGCGAAGGCGGCCCCCUGGACAAAGACUGACGCUCAGAUGCGAAAGCGUGGGGAGCAAACAGGAUUAGAUACCCGGGUAGUC
rnacentral:rRNA from 1 species